UACAGAGGCCUCGAGCGUUAGGCGGAAUCACUGGGCUUAAAGCGUGUGUAGGCGGAUUGGUAAGUACCUUGUGAAAUCCCACAGCUUAACUGUGGAACUGCUCGGUAUACUGCUGAUCUUGAGCCACUCAGGGGCUACCGGAACAAAUGGUGGAGCGGUGAAAUGCGUAGAUAUCAUUUGGAACGCCAAUGGUGAAAACAGGUAGCUGGGGGUGUGACUGACGCUGGAGACACGAAAGCCAGGGGAGCAAAACGGG
rnacentral:rRNA from 1 species